rnacentral:lncRNA from 1 species
ACCACCACCACCACCUGCUGUCGUCGACGAGACUGAAUGCGAUGCUUUGCUGUCUGAUUUGGAGGCGAGUGGAAUCGAAGUGGCCAGCAAAUUCAACUGCCUGACAUUUCCCAAAAUGUCUUCGGAAAGCAAGACCGCUAUGCGAGAAGCUAUGGCCAACAAGCGGGUCGACGUUCCAUCGUUCAUCGUCGUGAUGAUGCCCGCCGCUCAACAACACAGAACGACCUACCGCAUUGUAAGAGAUUAAGCAGAUUUCUUCCUGCGUUUUGUUUUGUUCAUUUUUUUUUACUUAAAAGCACGUAUUCCACACCGGAAUUGGCCGGAUUUUGGGCCAUUCCGGACCAAUUCCCGUAGAUUUGGCGGCUUAAUUCGGGACGGAAAACGUGUCUUGAAGAACACACUCUGUUUCUUACUCUUGUUCAAUUUAUUUUUGCAGACUGUUCCAACUGGAAUUGUGCAAAAGCUGCAGAUGAAAUAUGGGGAUCGGGUGAAUCUCAAGGUUUCGGGUGGCGGCGGGUCGGGUGGUUUUGAAAUUGUACUGAAGCAUUCCGGACCAUCGUUGACGAUGGUGGGUAAAAAAUGGACUGGGUUCUACUAUGCGAAUCAGUUGAAGGAAGGGGACGUCUGCCUUUUCCAGGUUAUCAAGCCCUCCUCCAGCAAUGGAUUUGAGAUCCUGGUUGCCAUAUUUCGAGUUUGACUGUAUUUGUUGAAGGUCAAAGGUUUCGAAAGGUAGGGGGCCGAAACAAAACAGACCAUCUAUGUUAUCUACCGGAUUUAGUUAUGUUAGUUACGUCGGAAUCAAGAACUUAUUUACUUAGGUUUCACAAUUGUUAGAGUCAUGUGGCCAGGGAUUUGAGUUCCAAGUUCACAUAUUUGAGGUUUGGUUCUUGGUUGUGAUGUAAUGUGGGUUUUGGACAGGUGAUGUUACUUGUCCUAAUCGGUUGGAAUCAAGACGUUAUUAGUCAAUGUAAGGAUGUUUAAUGUUCCCGUGGAGUUUAGUCAUAUAAGUUUGGUUCUUUCAGGCUAAGUUAUCGAUUUGAGAUUCAGGUUUUCAUUUUUCAAGCUCGAUUGGGGAGUCAUCUCGGUAGGAAACAGUUGCAGCAGUGUUGCAGACAUUCAAGAGAUCCCAUAAAUCCAUAGGCCAAACAAUAAGGGAACUCAGAUGAGGACAAUUUCAGUAAAGCCCAUAGUAGUGGUAGUGCUAAUGUUGGUUUUAGUAUUGAACACAUUGAGACUCAAGUUAUGUUGUGGCACUUUAGUCUUGAUCAUCCAAGUUUUACAUAUUUUAAAAAAUUGCUACCUGCAUUAUUUCAUAAUAAAGAUUCAAAGGAUUUGAGAUGUGAUGUGUGUCAACUUGCGAAGCAUAUGCGUUCUUCUUAUCCUGGAAUCGACUAUCGACCUACCACACCUCUUAGUGUAGUUCAUAGUGAUAUAUGGGGACCUAUGAAAGUCAAGAACAUCAAUGGGGCUCGUUGGUUCAUAACAUUUAUUGAUGAUCACACUAAGAUGACGUGGACUUUCUUAAUGAAAGAAAAGUCUGAAACGGUCCAUAUUUUUCAGCUAUUUCACAAAAUGGUUGCUACCCAGUUUUAGACUCGCAUCAAGGUUAUGAAAACUGACAAUGCCCACGAUUACUUCAACAAAGGCCUCGACUCCUUUCUACACCUUCAUGGCAUCAUUCAUGCAAGUUCGUGCGUCGACACCCCUCAAUAAAACGGCAUUGUCAAACGCAAGAACAGACACUUACUCGAUGUUGCUCGCUCACUCAUGUUUACACACAAUGUUAUGAAGCAUUUGUGGGGAGAGGCUGCUCUAACGACCACAUACCUAAUCAAUCGUAUGCCCAAUAGGGUCUUGAACUUCAAUACUCCUCGGCAUGUUCUUCUGGCAGAUUUUCCCCAUCUUGUCAGUUUCUCAGCUGAUCUUCCUCCUCGAGUAUUUGGUUGCACGGUUUUCAUUCACAACUCCGCACCCAACCGCAAUUGUGAGUCAGGGGCAGCUCCCAACUGGUGUUGUAAGUCAGGGGAGUCUUAAAUGUCAUCAGAUGAACCAUUAGAAAAACAUCUUCUUGUUUAUCAAAGAAUAAAGAAUACUGUGAUUGAGGAUGAUACUCUUGAAACAGAAAACAAUGGAGGAGAAAUUACGAAUGCUGGUCGAGAAGUGAUAGGUAAAGAGAUUAAAGAAGAGGGUGAUGAUUUGCGUGAUCUAGAGGUUCUUAUUGCUCUAAGGAAAAGUGUAAGAAAUUGCACAAAAUAUCUGAUUGCUCGACAAAUCAGCUAUGAUGGUCUUAGCAAUUCUCACGGAGCAUUUAUAUCUGCUCUCGACGAGGAACAAAUACCUAAGAAUAUUGAAGAAGCUAUGAAACAUCCAAAAUGAAAAAGUGUUGUCAUGGAGGAGUUACGAGCUUUGGAGAAAAAUAAUACAUGGGACACCCUUCCGAAUGGAAAGAACACAGUUGAUUGAAAGUGGAUCUUUACCAUUAAAAAAAGAGCAGACAGGUCGAUUGAAAGAUAUAAAGCUAGGGUGGUGGCUAGAGGUUUCACCCAAACAUAUGGCGUGGAUUAUGAUAAAACCUUUGCACCAGUGGCAAAGCUCAACAGUAUACGGGUGUUGUUUUCUCUGGCAGCAAACCUGGACUGGCCAUUACGUCAACUUGAUGUGAAAAAUGUCAUUCUUAACGGAGAACUUGAAGAAAAGGUCUACAUGGUGUUUCCUCUGGGAGUGAAAAAUUCGAGAGAAGGGGAAGUUUGUAAGCUUCGCAAGGCUUUGUACGGGUUGAAACAAUCUCCCCGAGCCUGGUUUGACAGAUUUACCAAGGCUGUGAAGCAAGGAGGAUACUACCAAUGUCAGACCGAUCACACCUUAUUUGUGAAGCACUCACCUACAGGGAAGAUCUCCAUCCUCAUUGUGUACGUGGAUGUAUCUAUAAUCACUAGAGACGAUGUAGAAGAAAUUAAGAGACUCAAGGAUCAACUGGCAAAAGAGUUUGAACUCAAAGACUGGAGAAACCUUAAAUACUUCCUAAGAAUGGAGAUUUCGAGAUCUCAGAAAGGUAUCGUAAUCUCUCAACAGAAAUAUGUUUUGGACUUACUAAAGGAAGUGGGAAUGCUUGACUGUAAGCCUAUUGACACUCCCAUGGAGUCGAAUAAAACUCUUAGCAGGAAGGAGGAUAUUCAUGCAGUUAAAAAAGGUCGGUAUCAACGAUUGGUUGGGGAACUGAUUUAUUUAGCUCACACUCGACCCGAUAUAGCUUUUGUAGUUGGGAUUGUCAGCCAGCACAUGCACUGUCCUAAUGAAGAACACAUGAGAAUGGUUCACAAAAUCCUAAGGUACUUGAAGAGUUCACCUAAAAAGGGAAUCUACUUCAAGAAAACUGCUCAACGGGGAAUUACUGUCUAUACUGAUACAAGUUGGGAUGGUGAACUCACAGAUCGAAGGUCUACAACUGGUUAUUGUAGUUAUGUUUGGAAAAAUCUUGUGACAUGGCGAAGUAAGAAACAAAAGGUUGUGGCUAGAAGCAGCGCUGAGACUGAGUAUCGAGCUCUCGCACUUGGAAUCUAUGAGCGUAUCUGGUUGAAGCGCAUCAGAAUGAGCUGAAGAUUGAGAUUGAUGGUCCUAUGCAGUUUCUGUGUGAUAGCCAAGCAGCAAUCAACAUAGUCCCAAACAGCAAUCAGCAUAGUCCGUAAUCCUGUUCAUCAUGAUCGAACUAAACAUGUGGAGGUAGAUCGUCAUUUUAUAUCUGAAAAUGUUAGUUCUGGUGUGGUUCGAGUGGAAUAUGUUCCUACGAAGUAGCAGAUUGUAGAUGUUCUUAGGAAGUCUCUUUCAAAAGAUGUGUUUGACCAUUUACUGUCCAAACUUGAGUUGAUUAACAUCUACACCAAACUUGCGAGAGAGUGUUGAAGAAUAUUACAUUUUCCUUAUUAGUAUAGAAAUAAGUUUUAAUAUUUUUCCUUAUUAAUAUAAAAAUAGUACUUAGAAUUUUCAUAUUUAAAGAAAAAUUCUCCUAUCCUAAUUCUAUAUAAACCUAUAUAAUUUUUAUAUAAUCCUUCAUAUUUUAAUACAAUUGAAAACUUUCUCUCAUAAAUUCAAUAAAUGCAAACCCUUCUUCACUCUUUUGAACCAUCACAGAGUAAAAAUACAACAAUUUGAAACAACCAUCUCAGACCUAAACUGGUUUCUUCAGUAAGAACAUGUAUGGUCUAAAAGAACAAAGACUGGUUUUGAAAGAAGUAUAAUAGUGUGUAAACAAGCUUACCACUUUUCUCCAGUCAUGAAACUGACUCAUAACUCUCAACUUCCUUCCCAAUCCCUUCAAUCAAAGAGAAGUAUGUACUAUCAUCAGGAGGAAUCCCUCUGCCAGCCAUUUCCCUUAAAUAGCACCUCAGCAAAAUCCCCUUCUUGAUUCUUACACAACCCUUGAAUCAGUGCAUUAUACGUUAACCUCGUCGGAUUAAACCCUAUACUCACCAUCUCACCCCGACCCCUCAACGCAUCCUUCAUAUCCCCUCUCCUACUAUAACCACUAAUCAGAGUAUUGUAACUGAUAUGAUCCAGUUUAAUCCCCCGGUUCUUCAUCUCCUCAUCAAUCCACGAGCCUCCUCGACUUUCCCCUCCUUGCACCGCCCCUGCAUCAGCGUGUUGUAAGUUACUUCGUCGGGCGAACACUUCACCCUAUCUAUCUCUUUCAACAAUUUGAAUCCACGGUCUAUAUUCCCGCUAGAACAAUGACCAUCGAUUAAAGCAUUGAAUAUUAUCCGAUCCGGAAGAAUCCAAGCUUGAUCUUUAACCUGAACAUUUCAGCAUACAGAACCCAAGCUUUCUCCGUGCGAUUCGAUUUCAGAAACAGAUUCAGCAUUUCAUUACACGUCUCGACUUUGGGAAGCAAAAUUUUCUCCUUCAUUGCAUCAAAACAGACAAACGCAUCGUCGCCUCUUUUCAAUUUGCAGCAAGCCUUGAUCAACAAAUCGAAAAGUAACGAACUUUCGAUCCCAAACUCAUCCUUAGCAAUCGCCAACUCGUUAAAAACUUCCAAAACGUCGACCACCGCCGCUCUAUUAUUAUUCCUAAUGGUUUGUUUCAACAAUUGCAAACUGGUCUUCGGAUAAGGCGACUGAGACACCACUGCCACAGCAAGACACUUAUUUUUCAAAUCGAGGGAGUCAAAUCCGACGCAGUUGACGAACCUGAGCGCCGAAUCCGGUUUUUUCUUAAGAGAAAGUAGAGUUGCGGAAAUUGCUGGAGCUGUCAGUUUGCGCGCCAGGUGUUCGACGGAAUGCCACUGAGAAGAUUGUAUUAAGUUGAAGAUCUCACCUCCUCCUCCUUCCCCGUUCUUCUCCAAGUUAGCUUCUUCUUCUUCCCCUGGAAUAAUACUCAGUGUCGAUUUCGGCCGCGGAGGAAAACCGGCAGCAAUUGGGAUAACCGGGGAUCUGUCUGGGUUGAACUGGGGAGGUUUUGAAGCUAUUGAGUUUAAGGAAUCGAGCUUUCAACAGUCUGUUUGGCUUCAUUUAUCUGACAAGAUGAAUCCAAGUUUAUCGAUUUUGAAUUUUGUUUGUAGAAGUUUCGCCAGUGGAAGUUGAGGAACCGGAAGCCGCGAAGAGGAAGAAGAGUUGAGUUGAGGUUUCUCCGGUGGAAGUUGAGCUUGGAGGAGUGGACGGCGGUGGAAGAGAAAAUCAUGUUGGGCCAUACCGCCCAUGUAACUUCUUAUACGGGUCGAAAGUAUUGAUCCUACGGGCCGCUCCAAGUUCUCUUACGGCCCGCUGACAAGUACAUUGACAUUAUUACAUAUUUCGACUUGAGUCGUUCUUUUCGAUCACCAAUGCACAAUGAGUACGUUAAGUAAUACGGGUGGAAUCAGGUCCGAUUUGAUCGGGUUUAGGCCGAUCCGGACAGGAUUAAGUAGGAUCAGAUUAGGUUUAGGUUUAUAAAUUAUGGAAAUUCAGGUUUUCAAAUCCGAAUAAGCUCAAACCCGAUGAAAAUCCAAGUUGACUCAAGUUAAUUCUACUUCAAUAACGCAUAGAUAUUAGGGUUGGAAACCCGACAGUCCGGUCAAACCGAACUUCGGAUAAACCAAAACCUGGACUAAAUAGAAUCAGGUUGGAUUUAUGUUUGUAAAAUAUAGAGAUUCGAGUUUCAAGCGAUCCUGAUAAAACCCGUAUAAAUCCAAACUUGAUAAAAGCCCGAUUUGUCUUGAUCGGUUUGCCCGGUGAUUCCUUGCCCUAUGUAAUACGCCAAAAAUCCAAUCGAACACAACCUAAUCGAGACAGACUCAACCCACCCAAAAUUCGAAUUCGCCACAAGCCUCGAACCCCGGGUAUAUGUCAGGCUCCAACCGCUUGCUUUGAUGUUGUCAAGCAAGCAAGCUAUCCCUAGCAAGUUGUGCCGCCGUAUCUUGGGCAGUUGUUCAUUUGCAUGCAACUUGCUGGUGAGUAAUAAUAUGGAACAGAACAAAAGAAAGAAGCAUACGGAGGAUGAGCUCUCUCCUUAAUUUUUCUCUCUCUAUUAAGUGGUAAUCAUGCACCCGACUUCGAAUUAAAAGUAAGGAAAAAAUUAAUUUUUAUCGGUGCUGUUUAUUUUUUAUUUAAUGAUUGAUAUAUUUAUUUUAAUUAAGGAUAAAAUUAAUAUUUUAUUUUUUAAUUAUGUUUUUUUAAUGUAUUUCAGUUAGGGUUUUGGGUUUAGUAUUAAGAUUUUUAUUGUGGUUUUGAAUUUUGAGUUUUAGGGUCUAGAGUAUUGGAUUUUGGAUUUUGAAUUUUAGAUUUUGAAUUUCGAUUUUAGGUUUUGGAUUUAAAGGUUUAAGGUCUAGAGUAUUGAAUUUCAAUUUUAAAUUUUUGAUUUUGAGUUUUGAUUUUAGGUUUUUGAUUUUUAAAUUUAGGGAGAUCGGAAGAGCGGUUCAGCAGGAAUGCCGGGAGAUUAUUGGAUUUUCAAUUUUAAAUUUUAAUUUGAAUUAUCAAAUAUUUACCCUUCUUUAGUUUUUUAUUAAAAUGACAAAUUUGGCCCUUUUUAUUUUGUUUGCUGGCGGCAAGGAUAUCCGGACUCUCAUGCACCCCACCAUUCCCCAAAUCAAUAUACAUACAAAACGAUAUGCAACUUGCCAGUAGCCAUUAUUAUUAUUAUUAUUAUUUGUUGGCAUCUAUUCUCUACAGUAUUAGAUUAUUAAGAAACAUAAAAAGGGUAUAAUUAAUUUGAAUGAUGUACGGGAAUAACCCAUUCAUCAAGGCAUUGCGAUCGAGUUUCCUUAUCCAAAUAAUAUUCCAUGGUCAUACAUGCAUGCAUUUACGUGUGUUAAUAUUUACCUUGUUGUCUCUAUACUGCUCGCAUGCAUGCAUGUAUACUCAUGGGUGACAACGAUAUGCAUGGGAAAAAUUGUACGAUACAGACUAUUUCGAUGGGACGUGUAUGAAUGAAAUGACGAUUUCGACAAAACGGAAACAUUUUUGUGGUUUGCCCUAUGUAGCUAGCUGACUGUGUAAAUAUAUGUGUAACUGUAUGAAACAAAAUAAUAAUAACUGGAAGUAAGUGAUGAAGAGACUACUUUGACCUUUUGUACACUUUUGCUUGCCAACUAAGCAAAUAAACGAACCAAUAAUUUGUCCAUGGAUUCGGUUUGGUUCCCUCGUCCCUUUCUCAACAACCAAACCUCAAAACAAAUCAAAAAUCCAAACUACCAACUUUACCCUCCAAGUAAUCCUAUACUCCACAGUAACGUCGCGCUUCCUUCACUCCAACGCCAUCCACAAUUUAUACGUCCACGUCUCCAUCACUGUCUGGGAGAACGGUCAUAAGGGCUCAAUCUAGGCGACUGGUAAUAAUCCCGCCACUCCGGAACGUGGUCAUCCACGCGCCAAAUCUUCACCGACCGAUCAAGACUCCCGCUAUACACCACCCACCGUUGAUCUUCUUCGCCCUCCGCUUUAUCCUCACCGUCCGAUCUCCCCACCGCCAAGCACUUGACGGGCCCCUAGUGGCCCCUCAACACAGUAAGGCCUAAGGCAGACGUGGUCCCCACCACCUCUCUCCUUCCUCCACACGCAGAUGCUUUUAUCGGCGGACCCACUGAAAACCAACCCUUCCCCCGCCGUGGCCAGGCAGAGCACCGCCAUCUUGUGUCCCCGGAGCGCUCCGCCGUGCGAGAGGUGCUUCUCCCUCUCCCAGAAGUUCACCAUCCCGUCCGACGACCCGCAGUACACCACUUCCGAUCCGACAUCGCCUCCUCCGCUGCUGCUCACUGCCAACGCCGUCACCGCGCUCUCCUGCUCCAGCAGCGUCUGGACUAAGAAAUGCUUGACGUUUCCUUUCGAUUCCAGCUCCCGCUUCCACACCUUCACAGUCCCGUCCGCGGAUCCGGUGAAAACCAGAGAAUCGAAUCCCGUCGCCACCGCGUUUAUCGCGUCGUCGUGCGCGUUUAUCGAUUCCAAACACUUGUAAUUAGAAGCACUGCUACCGUUGCGCCUACCGUCUCCGAUUCGCCAUACCUUGAGAGUUUUGUCCCAGGAGCCGGAGUAGAGAAGGCCGAGAUCUGGAUUCAGCGCCAUACAAGAAACAGCAUCGUAAUGCUUGAUUUUCAAAACGUUCUUCCGUCGCCGAAUCUGGACGUAGUUCUUCGGAUUGACGGAGCUCGUAAGCGAAUCCUUGAACGUCGGCAAGCUCCCUAUCCUUCCGUAGGUAGACGAGUUCCUCGACGAGACCUUCCAGAUCCGGAUUUUCCCGUCCUGGUGACCGGUGAAAACCUUAUCGCCGUGGACUACAAUCGCCUUCACGAGUCCGCUGUUCGACUUAAAUCCGGCGAACUCCUUCAAGUCCUUCCACACUCGGAUGUUCUUGCUGUCAGAUCCGGUGUAGAGAAGAUCUCCAGACGCGGCCAGAGAGUAGACGUGGCCUUCCUGCCGCACAAUCGAUCCGAUUAAGCUGUUGUUUGGAAGAAGAGCAGGGGAAGGGAUUAUCCAGGGGGAUUUCAAGUACGGCGAUAGCGUCGGAUUGUUGUUGCUGCUGUUGUUCCAGGGAGAUAGCAGUCCGCCGCCGUAGAAAGGAGAAGAAGCGAAUAGCAGGUCGGCGGGGGCUGGAGUGCCGCUACUGUUCGAGUCCCUCGGGGUGCUAGUCAAGCUUGAGGAAGCGGUCGCGAUGUCAUGAUUAAGCUCAGCGUCUUCGUGGAGCAGGAGUGCACCGAGCUUGAGCCGGCGAUUAGGAGCCGGCGGAUCUUGUGACUUUUCGUACCUCAUAUUUUGAAUUGAAUGAUGAUUGGAGAAGAAGAAGAGAUGUUUGUUUGAGAGAUUGUUAAUUAUUAUUAUUGAUUGGAGAAGAAAGGAUUGGGAAAAUACUGAGGAGAGGGGUAUUUAUUGGGGAGUGAUGAUGGUACACGUGGCGGCUAAGCAGGUGACGUAAUUGGAUUUGGGGCUGCGAAAUUGGACGUUAGCCAAACUUUAGGCGUGUGCUGGUAAUUAGGAGACGGGGGAAUAAUAAAAUGCGAAAAAGUGUUCAUACUCCCAUGUGCAAGAUUUUGUUAAUAAAAAAAAGAUUGUAAUUAAAUAAGAUGACCACGAAUUAGGCGAGUUUAAUUUUUUGUUUCGGCGGGGUGGGAAAAGAUUUGUCAAAACCCGAAAAAGGGCCGUGUAAAAGGCAAAUUUUGGGAAUAUGCUUGGCGUUGCCAUUUUGUUGACCGGCCCUUUUCCUUUUCCUGAGAAACCAAGUUAUUGACCUUUGACUUUGUCAACAACAAUCGUCUCCUUCCUUUCCAGACCGAUAUUUCACCAUUUCAAAAUUAAAAUGAAGUGUAACCGGCCGGCAGCUGCCACAUUGUCGACGGCGGAAAAUAGGUAAUCGAAAACGACGCUUUCCUUAGCUCCUACCCUGAUUACCGGCCACGUAGCAACAAAGCUUACGAGCUCCCACCUCAUUAUCUGGUCAUGUUGUAGGUUUCCUAGUACGUAACGUUAGCGUGAUGAUUGGAUUUAUGCAUGGCAAAUUCAAUAAUUAAUUUCCGCGCUGCAUCAGGACUGCCACGUGUUCGUCCAUCACUCGUGAAGUUUCAUUGUUCAUAUAUGCAUCAGAAAUUACCAGUGAUGUGUGGAUCCAACACACAACUGAUCAGUAAAUGACGCAAAAUAAAAAAAAAAUAUCACCCCAUAACAAGGCGGAGGAGACGGCCGGUAAAUAUUAUUUUACCGUUUAUUUUCAAUUUAAAGUACAUACUUAUGAUUUUUUGAAUUUGAUUCGUUACCAUUUUAAUACAUGCUCAGUGCUUAGUCAGGAAGCGAAUUAGAGGGAGUAAGAGAGAGUUUCAAUUUUCUCCUUUUCUAAUUCCGAAUAUUAAAUAUAUAUAAAUUUUUGGAAGCCUUUUAUUAUUUCAUUUAUUUAGUGGUAUUUCAAUUAGGUUCUUCCUCCUACUUGAUUGUUUAUGAUAAAUCAUAUAUUAAAUUUACCGUAAUCAAACCUAGCUAUAACAGGUCAUAAAAAUAAAUUUAAUCAAAAUUAGUAAAACAUUCAAAUCGGUUUCAACUAAAAAUUAAAAUGCAUAAUCUUUUUUUCAUAUUUAUUAGUAUUGGAUUUCGGAAAUUAGAACCACAAACUCUUAUGAUAACGGAAACCGGCCGGUCCAUAUCUAAAUUUUCUGAACCGGUCACUAUUCGUUUCUAACGUCGAUUCCUUACAACUCUAGCACACAGUUUCCCUUAAGGUCAAGGCGCUUUAAUUAAAUCAGCAAUCUUUUCCAUAAAUACGAAAAUGUCAAACUCCAACAAUAAUACAACAAAACUUUCCUGGACCAUAAACAAUUAUUUUAAUUUUUUGUGGUACAAAUUUCAAGUGAAAUGUACGGCUACAAUAAUUUACAAUAGAUCUUGAAUGAAUAUGUGUAUAUGCAUAACAAUAGUCUGAUAGUCAUCACAUUCAAAUCAUAAAAGGUUGUACGUAUUAAACAUUUUUAGCCACGGUCGUCUAGUGUGGACAAAAAAAAAUUCUUGAUUGUGAAAUGUCCAAAUAAAGAAAAUGUUCCUUUUGCAAUUAUGACAAUCUGUCUUCUUUAAUGAGAAUAGUUUGUAUUUAUAUAUAAUCUGAUACUAAGCAAUGUGACUUCCUUCUAACAAACAAUCACAUCGUAGUGAUCCUAAUGUCAUCGAGCAAAGAAAAGGGUUAGAAGGCAAUCGAAGUAGAAAAUUUUGAAAAUUCAUUUAGAAAACGGUUAAUGAGAUGUAUACGAGCCAAAAGAAUAUGAGUAGAUAUCUUUAAAAAAUUGAUAAAAAGAGAGGAGACAAAAUCACGAAUGUUUAUAGACACAAUAAGAGGAAAACUAAGCAACUCCCACCAAUCCGACUCUGUACAAUCACGCACAUCAGAAGACAUCGACGAGAUUCGAAUCACUGUGGUUACCCUUUCGAAAUGUGUGCGCAAUUAUGUGCUUUGAUUUCAGAGUAAUUAGUUACACACUUGGAAUGUAACUUUGAACAAUGUAGCAUGCAGCAUUUUUGUAUAGGUUCAUCAAGUUGAGUGCAAUCUCGCAGUCUAGAUCCGCUAGCUUUUCGGCUGCACGGAAUCAAAAGUCAAUAUACCUAAAUCCUCCUUGGGAGGAAAACAGUCAAAACGAAGACAAAUGACCUGCCGGAAGCUGACACGUCAACCCGGUGAAAAUUGUUUUUGUACGUUAAUUACCGCCACGUGACAACAAGUUUACGGCUGACGAGGUGCCACGUCUUUAUCUGGAGUGCGUGAGCGUGAUGAUUGGAUUAUGGCAUGGCAUGGCAAAUCUCAAUACUCUGCAUGAGUAAAAGAAAAUCUGCGUUUUGGUUCGGACGUCGCUAGCUUCAAAGUUAAAUGUGGAACAGCCACGUAUCAGUCGGUAGCUCGUGGCAAAUCAUUUUACCCCUCAGAUUUUUUGUAUUUAUGUAGUGAGAUUGAAGAUCCAUUUGAAGAAUUUGUCGAUCACUAUUGUACUAGCUAUGAACGGAGCUCUACGAACAUAGCAUAAAUUAGGAGCGCCAACUUUCAGAUCCAACAACAACGAUUUCAUGAUCAAAACAUGCACUGAAUCGGAUAUGAAUCGAAAUUAUUUAUCGAGCAAGUAAUUCACGAAUAUAUUUUUUAACCAUAAUACUAAGUCAUAAUAAUACCCCAAAAAAUUAUUCGUUGUGCUUUUUUAGUUAAAGCAAAUUGCCUGUAAAGAUUAAAUGUACCACCGAUGAUUUUGUUAACUAAGUAAUAGCAAAUGUUAUAAGUACUGAACCGAGAUUAUGAUUAACAUGUAUCAAGUACUGAGCCAAAAACAUUGAAUCGAAUUUAAAAUUGUACUAAGCCAAACUCAAAAUUAAAUAACCAUAAAUAUAUAAUAAUUUAAUAUACAUUUAAUCAGAUCGUAUAAAAUAUGAAAUACACUAAUAUACAUAUAAAAAUAUCUUAAUCCAUCGCNNNNNNNNNNNNNNNNNNNNNNNNNNNNNNNNNNNNNNNNNNNNNNNNNNNNNNNNNNNNNNNNNNNNNNNNNNNNNNNNNNNNNNNNNNNNNNNNNNNNNNNNNNNNNNNNNNNNNNNNNNNNNNNNNNNNNNNNNNNNNNNNNNNNNNNNNNNNNNNNNNNNNNNNNNNNNNNNNNNNNNNNNNNNNNNNNNNNNNNNNNNNNNNNNNNNNNNNNNNNNNNNNNNNNNNNNNNNNNNNNNNNNNNNNNNNNNNNNNNNNNNNNNNNNNNNNNNNGUUUCACUAAAUUAGUCAUAUAUUUUCCAGUGAUCUCGUCACCCGAAUGAUUCUACGUUGAUUAAUUAAUUAGUAGUUGCGGCCUUGCGAGGAAACAAUGGCCAUAUAUAUAUAUAUAUAUAUAGCAUUAAAAAUACACUGAUUAAUUAAACAGAAAUAAAGACAUGUUGCGUAGAUUAAUUAAACUGAACUAAAGUAAUGUGUCGUAUUAACAUGUGACUGUGUCUUUAAUAGCGGGACAGUUCCCCCCCUACAGAUAUGCUUGUGGUAUAUAAACCAUAUUAUAAUUAUUAAACUAAGUUAAGUUGUUUGCCACAUAUGGUAAUUAAUUAGUGUUUGGUGUAUCCGUUCGUAUGUACGAGAGACAUAACAAAUUGGACAAAACUAGCAAAACCUGGCCACCGAAAGUGCCGACAAAUUUCUGUAUUAAUUUAUUAGGUGCCGUUUAGAUACACCAUGAUCAUCAUUAUUAAUUCUAUAUCAAAUUUAAUAGGGGAUUAAUAAGUCAAUCUCUACUGAUAAUGUAGUGUGAGGAGUAGGUUUGGAAUCUAGGUGAAAAGGGAUUUUAGGAUUUUAGGACGAUUCUGAAUCGUCAGAUUUUAUUGGUUUUAGAUCUAACGAUCCGUACAAAAAGGAUGUGAAAGUCUUUUCAACAAAUUCAUUUAUUUUAUUAUUUUUAUAAACGUACACGGCCACCUCAUCGUCGACGUUGCACGACGACUUCUCGGUCACCGUCCGGUGAAUUUUCAGGCAAGACUCCGGUCACCGGCCGGUGACUUUUCGGCGAGACCCCGAUUACCGGCAAAUGAUUUUCUGGCGAUACUUCAGUCACCGUCUGGUCACAUUUUUGUCGAGUCUCCUACAAUUUUUUUGAUGCAAAUUUAUCACCGGUUAUAGUUUUAAAAUUAUAACCAAUUAUAUUUUUAUAAUGGAUUAUAAUCAUGACCGUUAUUAAAAAAUAUAACCAGUUACAUUUUUAUAUAACUAGUUAUAAAAUAUAAUCGAUUAUAUUUUAAUUAUAAAUGAUUAUAUUUUUUACAGUUAUAUUUUUUAAUAACUAGUUAUAUUUUAUAAUAACUAUUUAUAGUUACAUUUUAAAAAAAAUAUAAUCAGUUAGAAUAUCUACUUAUAAUGAGUUAUAAUCUCUACUUAUAACUAGUUGUAUUUAAUAUAUAACUGAUUAUAAAAUAUAAUUAGUUCUAAAAAAACUGGUUAUAAAAGAAAAAUGAUUAAUUAUAAUUAUGACUGAUUAUAAUUGUUAUUCGAAUAACUUGUUUGCAACUCAUAAAAUUUAUUGUAGUUGUUCUACACUCUCCUCUUAUUUCCCCCUUAGUGCUUAACUUUUGAAUUUUUAUAAAAGGUUUAAAAGUCAUUAACAACGGAAGUAAGGUUCAAAAGUAUUUAUGAAAUAUGCAGAUCGAUCAGUUAAAUUUAGAAAAACCCAGAAUAGUCACUCUUCCCUACCAACUCUGACGUCGUCGACGAUGACUCCCGCCGUCGCAUCUUCCUCUCCCUCCUCUCCGAUGACGAUCUAACCGCCGUUGGGACCCACCAUCACAUAUCCAAUCGGACGAGAAUUCAAAUCAGAGUUCUGAAUCUCUCUCCUGGUCCGAUGAUGAUAAAGAUUCAGACUCGAUCUCCACCUCUGUUGCAAAUGUUUCUCCCAACGUCAGUACUCUUCAGCUCAUAUGCAAUUGAUCCCGGGUGAAAAUCUUUAAAUCGAUCUCCUACAACGAUUCGCCAGAAUCAAAUCAGUAGAACUUCGUCGAAGUCGAUGAACGCGCAUGAUACAGAAGAGGAUGGACUUUAGAAAGGAAAAAAAGAAAAGAAAAGGACAAUAUAUCUGAAAUACCGAAAAUACCCCUUAUAUCACAAAUUCUGGAAGUCUUGGAAUUUAUUUGCUUGGAUUUUAAACGGCUCUCGUAGUGCGAUCAUAUACGUCCUUUAAAUUAAUUAAUAGAUUCCAUAUUGUCGACGUACGUAGUGAUCAUUCUUGACUUGUGUCUCCAGAUCAGUGUCACAGUUUGUUUAGCUAAUUAAUUAAUCAAGUGAUAUAUUUAAUUUGUUAAUCAAUAAUCUCCAUCCUAUUAGAAAUAUAAUGAUUUAUGACAUAGUAUUAAAGUUUUAUAAUUUUUAAUAACCAACCGUUUUUUCGUUUUGAAACCAGAUGAUCAUCAAUUCAAAUAAUAUAACAAUCAUAAUAUUCAAAAUAUACGAUACUGGUUAAUACAUACCGUUCUGCCCCGAUGAACUUGAUGCUCGUGAGGCGAUUAUAAAUGUGUGUGUGACGGAUUGUGAAUCGUGUAUUAAACUCUAACUAUGUACAGUUAUUGUUCCUCGAGAUUAGAGUUUUUCGGCCCGGUUAGUAUGAAUUAAUUAACGCGCAUCAUAAUAAACCAAAUCAUAUUUACAUGUAACUAAAUUGAUUCAUUGAUUAAUAUCACAUGACAACGAUUUCAUUGUCUCUGGUCAUUGUCUCAUGCAAAUAUUAUAUAUAGUUAUAUCUUGUAGACUUUAGUGUACGUGUGUGGAGAAUAGUGACGACAGAAAGAUACGUAUUUUGUUUUCCAAAUAUUUGGAUAAACUUUGUUUAAAAAAGUCAACUAUUUACUGAUAACCAACCUAAUAGCAAAUGGGACAGAAGAAAGCUACACGAUCAGUCAUUAAGGAUUCAGAUUCAUCAAAUAAAAACCUGUUGAACAUUACGAUUUUUAAUUAUGGUAUAUGCAUAAAAUAGUUUUUUUUUUCUUUUACAACCAAAACUUCGAUCUUAUUAAAACACAUACAAAUCACCCGAGGACCAGGCGGGAAGACUACGCUAAAUACAAAGAUAGUCGAAUAACAAGAUUGACGAGCAACUAAGUGAGCCACCUUAUAUAUCAUCAAAUUAUCAAACAUAAAAUAUAACAGAGUAUUUAAAAUUGAUUGCCAAGGCCCAUGCUGCCAGACACAAACCGUCACACUUCCCAUAUGUAUAUAUGUCAACUCAAAACGUCUACAUCGAUUUAGUUAGGAUUGCCCAGAAAAUCUGGUCACCUGAAGCUCAAAAGUCCACCAUUAUCCAUUGAUGAUCUUCAUAAUAACGGCACCUAUACGUUGAUUUUGUUCACUGGGGACAUAGACACCUAGUCAGUUCCCAAUUAUUGAUGUAGGCAGCUCGAAUUUUCUAAGCUCGAUAACUCAACUGUUCGGAUCGGAUUUUAAUAGUUGAUAUAUGUUUCUUACUCAAUGUAUUUCCAAGUUCGGAAAAUAACACGUUUAAAAAUAGCUUUUAACACCCUUGACUAGUAGAGUUAGAGCUCAAAUCGAGGCAAUCUCGCUCUCAAGCCACCUAACCAGAAAAUUUAAGCUGGCUCGUGAGCACAGUGGUUGGAACUAUUAAUCGGGUACGUUUGCAAACCUAUCAACGGUUUGGAUGAGUUAAAAAGGAGUCGAACCGUCUAUGACUCGAGAGUGAAAGAAAACUUGCAUGGGCUGUCUAUAAAAGGAACAAGGGUUUUCAAAUUUGGUGGACUUUCAUGGAUGGGCCCAUGAUCGAUUUAUUUAUCCACGUAGCGAAAUGAACAAAAGGCCCAUAAACCCAAAUUCUCAAACACCCAGAUAGCCAGAUGGUUCCUUAUUGUCUGCGGAUGGAACCACUAAGCUGAGAGCUUUGAUAUCCACCUGAUUCAUGCACUGACUCGUGUACAGCAGCAGUUCCUUGUUAUUGCCCGUAAUAUUAUCUGCGAAUAAUUGGUAAUUACCGAUUUUCGAUCUGUCUCGAGUUGGUUGAGAUAGUUUCUUUAUCUUAAGGUCACGACUAACCAUUGAUACUUUUACCACAACUAUAGCAUUAAUAUCACAGCCGUGGCCGAUCCAUCUAUCGCGCCAGCGUGGACCAGUAACCCACAUUGCCAUUCCUCUGUAGAGUAAUGAGGGCCCAAAACCAUUAGCUUAAGGCCCACGUAAUAUUCUAUUAGAGUGGGCCCGUCGAAUUUGAGUGGAUAGAAAAACUUUGAUGUCGGCAGCUUACUUUAGAUCCAUCAAAAUAUCUUACACAUGUCGGCCAGUCGGCCGCGUGAACUCAUUCAUGUUGUUAAUACAAACGAUCACUUCGUCAACUAAUUGCCGCAAUUAGAGGCAAAAGUCAUCUUUCAACCAAUGAAAUAAACCUCGAUCAGGAGAAGAAAUUACACGAGAUGAAAUUAAAAAAACUGUUUUAAAUUAGCUAAGAAAUCUACGGCACAAUUUGCCUCAUAGAGAAUAUAAAAUCGCAGAACUAAAAUGCAUGUUGAUGAUCGAGCGAAAAGUAAGUUAUGAGAAAAUAAAAAUAUAUGUUUCUCGAAUCCAUCUCAAUAUGCAAACAUCGAAUACUCUUUGUUAAGAGUAAUACAAGGAAGACACAAUAUAUAUAAUUACGUGAAAUAAUUGGCAAGCUGUAGCCCGCCAGCUCACUGAAAGAAUUGCAAGCAGCCAAAAAUAGAGAACAGUUUAGUUAAUUAAAUUAGACAUAUGCGGAUAAAACACAGGCGACAGAUUCGCUUCUGCAACGUGUCAAUCAAUUACAAGCCGUGCUCCGCCAGAAAGCGCCCACGUGUCCUACACAAACAGUAAAUAAUAUUAUCUUAAUGCAACCUCAGUCAACAAGUCAACCCAUUUGCUUAACUAUCACUUAAUCCAAAGUAAUUAAAACCCCCGCUAAUCUAAUCAUUUCCGCGCCUCCUAUUAAUAUCUCUGUAAACGGAACCCUUCACUCAAAAUUUAAAAACCAACCUUUUGAAGCUGAGACAACAAUGGCGAAACAGAGCUACUUAGCGAUGAAGAUCGACGGAGCAAGCAGCGCACUGAUUGCUUCAGAUUUCAACGAACUAGCCGCCGCAGCGAAGAACUUGGCAAUCCACGUCGGAGCCGUCGCCGGAUUCGGAACCUCCCUGUUCCAGUGGCUCGCUGCAAUCUCCGCCAUGUAAAAUGCUUGUUGCUCGAAACCCUAAUUUCUUUUCAUUUUUUGUUUUUGUAUCGUCGAUUUGAAUGGAAUUGGAUCGUUCUGUAUGUGUAACAGAUAUCUACUGAUACUGGAUCGGACGAAUUGGAAGACUAACAUUCUCACAGGGUUACUCAUCCCUUACAUCUUCUUCACCUUGCCUCAUUUCCUCUUCAGUUUCCUCCGGUAAAGUUCAGAUUUGGACGAAUCUUUCCUUGAUUAGAUUUCAAACUGAUGAAUUGAAUGUUCAUUGAACCAAUUUUUUUACCUGGAGUUUUGCUUACAGAGGGGAGAUCGGGAAAUGGGCUGCGCUCGUCGCUAUUGUGGUUCGCCUGUUCUUCCCCAGCCAAUUCGCAGGUGAGAUUAUAGAGUCUGGUGUAAAAUUUACUUCCAUCAAUCCUGGUUAAUAUAGCCUUUAAUCAGCACUGGUUGUUGGAUAAACGGAAGUUCCCAGAAGAGUACAAGGUUUGCAGAACUUGAUAUUGGGAGAUAGUUUAUGAUGUGAUAUCAGACUUUUUGUUUAACAAAAAAGCCAUCGUUUCAAAUUUCAAUAACUCCAAAUCUGUUACCAAAACUGUGCAAAACUCCAAGCCGUGUACCCCCUGAUAGCCUCCCUUCGAGGAGCAGGGGUAUUAGCUCAUAAUCUAAAAUCAAUUUAAAUCAUCUUCCAAUGACUCGAGUUAGUUAUCAGAGCCUUUAACGUUUACGAGGUCUUCGUUUCAAAUUUAGGUAGUUUCCAAUCUGUACACAUAACUUAUCAAAAUUAUAAAAAUUUCAACUUGAAGAUUAAAGAGGCAUGUUGAUAAAUAAUAUAAAAUUAUGGUCUGACCUUUUUUCAACCACUUUUGAAUUAUUAGAAUAAAAUAGUUCUCGACGUGGAUUAAAAAAACUUGACAUUUUGUCCUUUUGGGAUUCAAAAACUUCAGAUUUUGUCAUGAAUUAUGGCUUUUUGAGUCAUUUUAUAUCGUUCAUUGCCAGUUAUUGGAAUCGAUUAUAGACUAAAUGAGAUUGUUGGAAUCUUUUUUGGUACAGAAUGGCUAGAGAUGCCGGCUUCGUCGAUCCUACUAAUAGUGGUGGCACCAGAGUUGAUCGCCGGCUACGCGAGAGGGAACUGGAUCGGAGUAGCGAUAUGCCUUGGGAUUGCCUGCUACUUGCUCCAGGAACACAUCAGAGCCUCCGGCGGGUUUAAGAACGCCUUCACCAAAGAAGCAGGAAUCUCCAACACCAUUGGAAUUUGUCUCCUCUUUGUUUACCCUGCCUACUCUCUCAUCAGAAGUAUCCUCUGAGAGAGAUUAGUUGUGAUUUCUUUCAGUGUUUGCUUUUGUGUUUCUUUUUUUGCGAUUCAAUUAAAAUUAAUGGGUUUGGACAGCAAUGUUAUCAAAUUUGAUGAUGUUGUUGUCCUACCGUAUGCAUUCUUGUUCAUGUCUUUUUCUCGAUUUAAAAGGUAGAGCUCCGAUCUUUGGUUGAUAAACUUGUUUAUCGGAGUCCGAGUUGUGACUCAUAUUGAUUGCCGACUGACAAACGAUACCCGAAAAGACACAACCUUCAUCAAGAUCGGUGUGACAUUGGGUCAAAAUAUCGCUAAACUAUGUAAAAUCGGUCUCCCGCCCGCCAGCCGUCAGACGACCUCUUUAACGUCCGUUUCAAACACCACCUUCUCAUGGCCAGCAUCCACCUCAUUGCAGCCAGCAGAGCGCGGGCCUCGCUUUCGAUCCCCGGAGUUUAUUAAGAUUUUUUAACCACAUUCAUAUAAUUUGAUUUCUUCAAUGAUUAAUCUCGGCAGCUGUAGUUCAUUAAACGCAGUGCGGAUUUUGCUUAAUCGUCCGCCCCUACGGACACUUUAAUACAACGGUGGGUCAUGGGUCCGUUCGGAUCCAACGGUGAAAUAUGUCCAACUUGUUUUUUUUUUCAUUUUUUCCUACACCAUAUCUUUUCGAUUUGAGUUGGUUUUAUAUUGAGUUUUGGGUUGCGAUUUUGGAUUUUUGGGUUUUAGAUUUUGGGUUUGGUUUAGUGUAAAAAAAUAAUGUUCAUGUUCGGUUGGUUUUAAUUUUGAGUGUUGGGUCAAACUGAAAAUUUAAAAUCCAAAUUGAAAACCUAAUACUCCAUACCCUAAACCUUAAACUCUAAACAUAUCCAAAAUAAAAAAACCCAAAACUACGCAAAAUUCAAUUUAAAACCAACUCGAACCAAAAAGAUNNNNNNNNNNNNNNNNNNNNNNNNNNNNNNNNNNNNNNNNNNNNNNNNNNNNNNNNNNNNNNNNNNNNNNNNNNNNNNNNNNNNNNNNNNNNNNNNNNNNNNNNNNNNNNNNNNNNNNNNNNNNNNNNNNNNNNNNNNNNNNNNNNNNNNNNNNNNNNNNNAUUUUAUUUUUAUAAAAUUAUAAAUAAAAAAUAUGAAAUAAAUAUAUCUUGUGAAUAUUAUAAAAAUAGAUUUUAAUUUAUUAAAAUGGACUGCACGAAGUAAAAACAGACUGUACGAAGGAAAAGUGGAUUGUGUUCGUAAAAAUGGAUUGGACAAAGUAAUUUUUUUAAUUAAGAGUAUAUUAGUUUAUAUACGGACUGUACGAAAUAAAGACAGACUAUAUAUAACAUUAAAAAAAAACACAAGUUGAAAACAUAUCACCGUUGGAUUCUGCCGAAUUCAUCAACGACCGUAUCAAGUCUCCACCGGGGCGGACGAUUAAGCAGUCCGCACCCAAGUAAUUUUGCAUUCAACACCCAGCUCACUGUAUCCAAAACUUAACAGCUCAAACAAAAAGAAAACAAUAUCCAAUAGUAGAAAUAUGCGGAUAUCAAUAGAUUCGCAUCGGCCACGUGUCGACCAUCUACAAGUGGUUUUCCGCCAGCAAGCGCUGACGUGGCCUACACAAAUAAUGCACUGAGUCAACAAGUCAACUCAUUUGCUUAACCGACAAUUAAUUCAAAGUAAUUAAAACUGCUAAUCUAAUCAAUAAUCAUUUCCGAAGGCAUACUUUUGCAGCGGAAGGAAUCCCCCCUAUUGAGAGGAAUUAGGGUUUUAAAAAUCUAUAAACUUUCGAGGUCGAUCGUAGUCUUCUUUCCAUCGAAUUUCCCCCCGACAAUAACACCACCAUCGUCUCUAUCACGAUUACAUAAUCAAAACAAGUUAAGGGUUUCAACAACCCUCGAUAUUUUCUUUCAACGCUGAUUGUUGCAUCGCUGUGUCGCUUUCCUCCCUUUAUUGAUCAUUACCGUCGCCCCCUCUCCCCUCUCCACCCGCCGAUCACCAUGGCGAGCACUACAACCACUGUUGCGGAGACGACCGAAGAAGAAACUGAAGCAAAUAGUGUCAUAAAAGGUGUGGUAUAAAGUUUCGAGAGCCUCUCGAAACAUAUGAAAGGUAUUCAGGGAAAUCCAAAAAAUCUGACAACGGCAGAUUUGAACAACAGGUCCUGCCCCAAGAAGUGAUCCGCCGACGAAAACUCACUUGAGGUAUCGGUUUUUCAAGUGUUUGAUAUUUUGGGUGUCUCCAAUUCGGAUUUCACCAGUCUUUUAUUGCUUUUUAAGUUUCAGAAUUCAUAUGUUUCUUUCUGAUUGAACAAUUAUUUAUUUAUUUAUUUUCAUUAUUGCUAUCGUGUAGAAUUUAGAGUUUGAAAUAUUAACUCAUAUAUAAGGGUUUUUGAUAGAGAAAUGAUUAAAAACAUAAAAAUAAGAGAUUAAAUUACUUUUUUAUAAGGUUGAACUUUACUCGUUAUGAAUGAUAAUUUUUUUUUAAAAUUAUUUGACAAACUUAAUAUGAUUUGGUUAAGAGUAUAAUAAUAUAAGUAGAUCAUUUUUUAAACCCAAAAUCAAUUAUCAUUUCCGGCCUCCUAUUAAUAUCUCUGUAAAAUAAAUCAUUCACUCUUAAGAGCUGAAACAAUGGCGAGACAGAGCUACUUAGCGAUGAAGAUCGACGGAGCAAGCACCGCACUGAUCGCUUCCGAUUUCAACGACCUAACCGCCGCAGCGAAGAACUUAGCAAUCCACGUCGGAGCCGUUGCCGGAUUCGGAACCUCCCUGUUCCAGUGGCUCGCUGCAAUCUCCGCCAUGUAAAAUGCUUGUUGCUCGAAACCCUAAUUUCUUUUCAUUUUUUGUUUUUGUAUUGUCGAUUUGAAUGGAAUUGGAUCGUUCUGCAUGUGUAACAGAUAUCUACUGAUACUGGAUCGGACGAAUUGGAAGACUAACAUUCUCACAGGGUUACUCAUCCCUUACAUCUUCUUCACCUUGCCUCAUUUCCUCUUCAGUUUCCUCCGGUAAAGUUCAGAUUUGGACGAAUCUUUGCUUGAUUGGAUUUCAAACUGAGUUCAGUGGUUGGAAUGUUCGUUGACCUUUUCUUCUGGAUUUUGUUUGCAGAGGGGAAGUGGGGAAAUGGGUUGCGCUUGUUGCUGUUGUGCUUCGCUUGUUCUUCCCCAGCCGAUUCCCAGGUAAGAUUUUGAGAGUCUGAUUUACAUUACCUUCGUCGAUUCGGUAUAAAAUCCGGGGAGCAUCUCGUUCAUAUGAUCAGGGUUUUUCGGAUCCAGAAGUACACAAUAUAUAUCCUACGCUGCUCAAAUGGAAGCUUUCACAAAAGUCUUGAGAUUUGCAUUAACUUCAAUAAUUUUUAUGAGCAUUUGACUGUUUGUAUCAGUCAAAUGUUCAUAUAUGAUGUCAAUGAACCACUUCUAUCUAAUAAUUCGAGCGAGUUGUUAAGAGAAGAGAGGGUGUAAUGUCAAUUUUAUAUUAUUCAUCGACGACCGGUUGAAAUCGAUUAGAUUGAAUGGGAUGUAAGCAAACCAUGGGGCUAACAAAUUGUUGAAAAUUGUUGCUUAUUGGACAGAUUGGCUAGAGAUGCCAGCAUCAUCGAUCCUGCUAAUAGUGGUGGCACCAGAGUUGAUCGCCGGCUACGUGAGAGGGAACUGGAUCGGAAUAGCGAUAUGCCUUGGGAUCGCCUGCUAUUUGCUGCAAGAACACAUCAGAGAAUCCGGCGGGUUCAGGAACGCCUUCACCAAAGAAGCAGGAAUCUCCAACACCAUCGGAAUUGUUCUCCUCUUUGUUUACCCUGCCUACUUUUUCAUCAGAAAUACUCUCUGACGAGACAAACACACCACCAACUGUGAUUUCUCAGUUUCUGAGUUCUUCAGUGAUUGUUCUUUUCUGUUUCUCUUUCUGUGAUUCAAUCAAAUCUAUGGUUGUUGGACAACAAUGUUAUCAAAUUUGAUGAUGUUUUUGUCCUACCAUCCUCUUGUAACUUGUUCAUGUCUUUCUCUCAGCUUUAAUGUACCUGCUUAUGGUGGCCCGAGUCGUAACUUGAAUUAACUCGAAUUGAUUAUCGAAGUGCGAGCCUGCUUAUCAUGAUCCAACUCCAUCUCUGGCUCGAGUGGAUAAAACAUAACAACUCAUAGCUCAUCCACUUGUAACCUGAUGAGCCGAUAAUCUGAAAUUUUAACUUGUAACUCACCUAAUUUACAGCGUGAUGGACUAGUAAUCCACAACUCGAUGGGUAAACAUUUAACAUGAUAAAGCCUUAACAAGAUCGAGUCAGAACUCAAUUAAUUGUUUCCAUUGAUCGACUGUAAGCUUGUAACAGCUAAUAAGCCUAUAUAAAUAAACUCUUUGAACAACUCGUGAAGCAUACUAGAACGGCCAAAUGAUCCUUCUUCUCUAACCUUCUGCUCCGGCGAGCUAUAAUCGCCGCCGCCGGAGGAACCUCCCAUUUCCAUGAUGCUUAGUAGUGGUGGAAAGUCAAAACUGGAGGUUGCAUGGAAACUUGUAGCAGUGGAAAGUCCACUGACGAAGUCCCAUGGAUGGCAAGUGUUCUCAGUGGGAAAAUUUUAAAAUAUCUCAAUUUCGGGUCCCCCUCCCCAUUAAGGCUUCCGCUCCGAUGCGGUCAUCUCCACUUUAGUAUACCAUAUUCCACACUUCAUUGCCGUGCAUCUAUCUCAUCUCAUUGGUUUAUUACUUUUCUGCUCAUGAAAUUUUUGAAUCAUAACCUGCAAGCCACCGGUCUUUAGACGACGUUCGUAUACUCAUCGAAGUUGGGAAGAAUAGUUUAACGCACUGUUCUUUUACGGCUUCGUGAUACAAUUUUAUUUAAGUCUUCAUUCCAUUGCCAACAUAUAUUCUCCUUGUCUCUUCUCCGAUGAUGAGUUGAUAUACGAAAAAGAAAUUUUAUAUCGUGAGUAACAAAAUUUUCAUUGCCAUACAAUUUUUCAAUAGACCGAAAAAGAAAGCGGUGAGUGAAAUUUGAGUAAGGAUGAAAAUGUGGUCUCAUUUUGUGUUUGGAUUUUUAAAUUAACUAAUCUAUUCAAUUGCAUUCAUAUCGGUUAUAUCGGUUGAUUCAAUCAGAGCCACCGUGAGUCAAUCGGACGUGUGACGUUUUUCUGAGUUUUUUUUACUUUUCUCCAGGUUCACUACUCUGGCUGUAUACGAUAAAAUUUCACACAACCCCGCCUUAAAUUCACCAAAGCUGACGUGUCAGUUCUACUUCCUUUUUUCCCUCUUCUUCUCAUCUUCCCCUGUCAAAUUUCCUUAAAAAUUAUUCCACCACCAUCAAACAAAAAAUCCGCCACUGAUCCACAACUCUCUCCACCACCGUCAAGCGGCUGCCCACACCGCAGCGCACGCGCCGGUCAACACACAACCCCACCCGAUCCACCCCCCUCCCCCCCACCGUCAAACGGCGGCCGACGAUGACGAUCCUCGGCAGAUCCACCGCAUCCCCUUCCCCUUCCCCUGCUCCGUCCCCUUCACCCCUUACUCACCACAACCACAACUACCACCACAGGUUCCACAUCCACCGACCUCCGCUGGACUCAGGAGCUUCUUCAUCAUCGCUACCGUCCACCUCGUCCCCUUCCACAGUCGAAUUCAGUCCGCCGCUGAUCGCGAUGGUGGUCGUGGUAGCCGCUGCUCUGCUUGUUAUCACCUACUCCCGCCUGAUCUCCCGAUCCCUCGUCAUGCUCCUCCGCCGCUACCGCCGCCGCACCCCGCGGGCGCGCCGCCGACGCAGGCGGCGUCACUUUCCGAAUUCCGCUCCAUCGUCAACAGGGGGCGGCGAUCGACUCGACUCUCCUCUACCGUUCUUUGACUCCCCUGACGAAUUCCACCACCUCUACUACCCUAACUAUGGCCUCGACGAGUCGGUGAUCAAGACGAUCCCGAUCUCCCUCUACACCAAAUCGCUAAAGCCGCCGCAGUCGCCUGCGGCGACCAGAGAUUGCGCCGUCUGCUUGCUGGAGUUCGAACACGGUCGAGACUACGUCCGCACUCUCCCGAACUGCUCGCACGCGUUCCACGUGGACUGCAUCGACAUCUGGCUUAGGUCUCACGCCAACUGUCCACUCUGCCGCUCCCGGAUCUUCCUCCCAUCAUCCCCUCCUCCGCCGUUCGUCCCACUGAUGGCAGCUCGAAUCCGCCCCAGCUUCGUCGAGAAUCCGAAUUUCCUCCUCCCGGAUCUCGAGUUCCAACCUUCCGUAAUCCGAGAAUCCUCCGAAAUCACUCCCUGCGUCGAAGAAGACGAAGAGGAUGAGGAAAGAAUCAACGAUUUCGGUCUGGACAGCAGCAUUAGCAGAAGGAACAACAACUUCAACAACCUCUUAAAGCGGUCCUACUCGUUCGGAUUCGAGCGAUCCGAGAGAAUGACGCUGGCGACCGAGCCGGCUACAGUGUCUC